GAUCCAAAUUUGAAGUAUAGUAGGUUAGUAAGGUCAGCUGAUACUACUAAUCUACUCUACUUUGAAUUUGGGCCC
rfam:Haemonchus placei strain MHpl1 genome assembly, scaffold: HPLM_contig0012244